AUGGCCAAGGAGAAGACGGCGGCGCUGGAACGCGCAAAGAAGGCAUCGACGACGGAGAAGGCGAAGGGGAGAUCCACCAGCCGCGGCGGGUCUUCGUCUAGAUCCCGCCUGCCGAAGGGCUGGGUCCAAGGAGAUUGGAUCCAGUCGACCAUCACGGAGAAAGAUCUCCUCGACAUGGCCAAUGAGGGCCUGAUCCCCCAUGGAGCUGCGAGGCUUCCGGGGAAGGAGUGGCAGCCCCAGCCAGAAGAGGGUGAGUGCGUGCUCCUGGCCACCCAUGUCGAUCGUGGAUUUUCUUUGCCGCCGAGUAUUUUCUUCCGUGGUUUCUUGAACUUCUUUGGAGCGCAGCUCCACCACUUUACCCCAAAUUCUAUCGUCUAUCUUGCCGCAUUCGUGUCCAUGUGUGAGGGUUUUCUGGGCUGUCGACCGCACUGGGGCUUGUUCAAGCAUAUAUUCACGUGUCGCUCUCAGACCGUGAAGAAGGCGAGCCCAGGCGACGAAAGAACCCGAGUCGUCCAAAUGUGUGGGGGCCUGGGGAUCUAG
rnacentral:rRNA from 1 species